GUGCUUGCUUUGGUAGCACAUAUACUAAAAUUGGAACGACACAGAGAAGAUUAGCACUGCCCCUGCACAAGGAUGACACACAAAUUUGUGAAGCUUCCAUAUUUAAA
ensembl:snRNA U6 U6 spliceosomal RNA